rnacentral:lncRNA from 10 species
UACAAAAAUUAGCCAGGCGUGGUAGUGCACGCUAUAGUCCCAGCUACUUGGGAGGCUGAAGCAGGAGGAUUCCUUGAACCUGGGAGGCAGAGGUUGCCGUGAGCCAAGAUCUUGCCACUGUACUCCAGCCUGGGUGACAGAGCGAGACUCUCUCUCUCAAAAACAAAAACAAAAACAAAAACAAAAACAAAAAACUAUUUUAGCUCUUCUGAGCCAUUCCUAAUGUUUUAGAAAUAACUGGUCAGAUCUUAAACAAAUUUUUCACAUGUUCUAGGAAAUGAACAGAUGAACGUAUUUCAUGCAGACCACGGCCCAGUAGUAUCAAUUCAUCUCAGAGAAGCAUGACAGAGAGACAGUGUCCUCUGCCAUGCACUGUGCCUGAUUCUACUUGCUUUCAGUCCUGGAGAACUUGAGGCAAUAUUUCCUCAUUGCCUUUGGCAAUUUAAGUUACCCUUGGUAGAUGCAAUACUAUUGGCAUGCCAAGCUGCUAAUUACUUGGAACGUUUGAUCAGGCUGCCAGAGGCUAAGGUCAGCUAGUCCUCUGACUUUCAGUCUUCAGUCUUCCCUAAGCCUCAGCUCUCCACGCUUCAGUGACACUUUCUCAUGGUAUCACGCUCUCAGUUUCAUGCUCAGCUUUUAAUCAGGUAAAAUAUCAAAUGUGGUAGUUGAACAAAAUUCAAAGGAAAUAUCACAAUCAUAACUUCCAUAUCUCUUGCUAUUGAGAAGACAUUCUGAAGGGAGGAGAACACAUUUUGGUCCUUUUUAGUUGACAAGAGUCAUAGAUGCAGAUGAUGAACAGUAGGCCGGAUGGAGACUGUAGGUUAGUGGAGGGUAUGUGCUCCUUCUACAGAGAGUACGACUACUUCACUACAACAGGCUGUUGCCAGAUAGGCCUAGUGAAGCCAAGGCUUGUUUUCUAAGAGAAGCCUAGCACUUUGGGAGGCCGAGUCAGGUGGAUCACAAAGUGCUAGGAUUACUGGUGUGUGCCACCAUGCCUGGCUGCCCUCAAGUUUUAAAUGUUCACCACCAUUAAAUUUUUUUUUUUUUGAGAUGGAGUCUCGAUCUGUCGCCCAGGCUAGAGUGCAGUGGCACGAUCUCGGCUCACUGCCAGCUCCACCUCCCA